GAGGGGAUAGCUCAGUGGCAGAGUGCAUGCUUAGCAUGCACAACAUCCUGGGUUCAAUCCCCAGUACCUCCG
rnacentral:tRNA from 1 species